rnacentral:rRNA from 1 species
UACGUAGGGUGCAAGCGUUAAUCGGAAUUACUGGGCGUAAGGCGUACGCAGGCGGCUAUGUAAGACAGGUGUGAAAUCCCCGGGCCUAACCUGGGAACUGCAUUUGUGACUGCAUAGCUAGAGUCCGUCAGAGGGGGGUGGAAUUCCACGUGUAGCAGUGAAAUGCGUAGAGAUGUGGAGGAACACCGAUGGCGAAGGCAGCCCCCUGGGAUGAGACUGACGCUCAUGUACGAAAGCGUGGGGAGCAAACAGG